GUGGGGAGCUGUGAGGGGCGGAGCUGUGGAGCGGGAAGGAUGGGAGGGCUGCGCUUGGGGCUGCUUUUCACGAGGACGAGCCGUGGCAGGUGGAGGUGCUUGCACCGCUCUCCGUGUUUUGGCAGCGCAGGCUCUUGGAUUUAUGAGCCGCUUUGGGCUGAGGCUGUUUAUUUUUUGUUGUGCUCAGCAAUGUGAGCAUCUUCAGCGCCGUCCUGAACAGUUAUCUGUCAGAACAGAGUGCCAAUAGAAGCCCUUUUCCAGUCCGUCCGGUUCUGUGCUUCUGGGUGGAACAGACAUUUGUUAUGUUUAGAGGUGGUUUUGCUGAGACUUCUCGAUUCCUUGUGCCCCAGGUGCCAACGGCCGGCCCCAUUUCUGCCCGCAGCCUCAUUUAGUUGAGGGCAGGGCGCUUAUCCAGCUCUGAUCGAUCACAGCUGUACCUUAAUCAGUCAACUGCUGCAGCGCAGCCUCGGCGAGCCGUCCGUGUGCCCGCUGUGCUGCGGAGCGUUCCUCAGUCUGUUGUCUGGGCAAGGGCAGGGACUUGUGCGAGCUCUUUGUUUCUCCUGAUACGCAUUAAUUAUUGUCUCUCCGCUCCUCGCUGCCAUUUGUAAGUGGCAUUAAAGAAUCUAUUUUGCUUAUUCAGCUGGAGUUCUCAUCGGCAGCAAUUCAUAAGCUGCUUUAGAGUGGGUCAGUGCUGCUUAACCAGUGCAAGUGGUGCAGAACUUUUAACUGAGAUCUGGUGGUGUCACUGCAGUUUUGUUUCGUGUUGUAAUGGUCAUCUCCAUUCCCUUCUGCAGUGAGAAAAGUAACAGUUAUCACGUACAGAGCUUCAGUAUGUGAGAGGACCACUCUGCAUUGUCAUGAGAUGCAGAGAACUACGGGUCAAAACUUGGGUUUCCUUGUCCAGCUGUGCUGGUGGCACGCGCCCUGCAAUAUGAAGAUCUGCACCACUUGAGAACCUGCGUUUUCCAAGAGGCUCUCUGUGGAUAGCUGGUACUCUGCUCAGUGGGGAACGGUCAGAACAAGAGGGGUUUUCCCAAGGGCUGACAUUUCUGUAACAAUACCGUUUUCACUGAAACCAGCACUGGGAGUAAGAAGUGGGCAUCAGUAUUCUUGAGACAUCUAUCAAUGUCUACAGCAAGAUCCCAUCUGAUAAAGAAAUAGACAGUCUGAUUUGGGAAUGUGGACAUGCUAUAGAGAGCCCUUACAUGCAGAAACCUCUGCAAAGAGCCCUUCUUAUAGCAUUUACUGCUAACUACAGGUACCUGCAGGAAGGGUUAUUCAUGCUGUGCCUUGUUCCAGUGGAGAUGCCCAGUAUGUCAAAAAGGAGGAAGAAAAGUGCUUAGAAAAAACAGUAAAUACAUAAGGAUAAAUUAAUAUGACUGUAACAUACAAUUACAUGCCUCUUCUCUGCAUGCAUUAAGAAAUAUAGGGCUGGCCUGGGAGCUUUCUCCAGUGAGGCAUCUAAGUUUGUUUGGAAAGGGAGAGUAUAACAGAAGAAAUAUUUAAAAGAGCAAGAAUGAGACUCCUUUCAUCUUUUGAACAUCUUUCCCAAGAAUUUAUAAAUGAAUUGACUAAUAUUCAGUGAUAAAAUAAAAGAGUAACUGACUGGGUGUGCCUCGGGGCUGCCCUCAAAACGAGAUGUGCCGUCUGCAUGGAGCAUACCUGCUGUGUGCAUCUCCUGUGUGGCUGGAGGGCAGGCUGCAGAGCUCGGGAUGCUUUCUGCCUUUAGUUUUGUGUCUGGAAGGUUGGCUCCAGCACACCGUGCUGCCUGUCUGCUGCUGGGUCAUCAGAACAGGCACUCUGCCCACUGGUACUGGGAUCUGAUCAGGACGUGAUGUGACUGCAUGUGUGAGCACAGGGCUGCUGGCUGCUGCUGAGAUCUCCCAGCAGGGAGGUGGAAAUCUCUGCAUGCUAAAGCAUAGCUUUGAGCUAUCCCAGAUAUAUUUCCACCGCAGCAAUCUGCACUACAGUGCUGUCACUGCUGUGCCUGGGGGUGGAAUGAAGGUCUCUGGGCACACAGCGAUCACCUCACUGGAGUUUGUUCCUUGUAAUGCUGGAGCACAGCCUGGGAGAGCAGCGCUGCUCUGUGAUGCGUUCUGGUGUCAUUGCUGUACUGGGGGUUAGUGCUACACAGGUGACAAGUGUGUGUGUGUGCUCUAAGCACAACACAAGGCAGGGAAUGUGCAGGAUUUCGUGGUUCCUGAGAGUAUAUUCUUGACCAGAAGCUAAACAGACAA